rnacentral:rRNA from 1 species
AUUGAACGCUGGCGGCAGGCCUAACACAUGCAAGUCGAACGGUAACAGGAAGAAGCUUUCUUCUUUGCUGACGAGUGGCGGACGGGUGAGUAAUGUCUGGGAAACUGCCUGAUGGAGGGGGAUAACUACUGGAAACGGUAGCUAAUACCGCAUAACGUCGCAAGACCAAAGAGGGGGACCUUCGGGCCUCUUGCCAUCGGAUGUGCCCAGAUGGGAUUAGCUAGUAGGUGGGGUAACGGCUCACCUAGGCGACGAUCCCUAGCUGGUCUGAGAGGAUGACCAGCCACACUGGAACUGAGACACGGUCCAGACUCCUACGGGAGGCAGCAGUGGGGAAUAUUGCACAAUGGGAGCAAGCCUGAUGCAGACAUGCCGCGUGUAUGAAGAAGGCCUUCGGGUUGUAAAGUACUUUCAGCGGGGAGGAAGGGAGUAAAGUUAAUACCUUCGCUAAUUGACGUUACCCGAAGAAGAAGCACCGGCUAACUCCGUG